ensembl:lncRNA
AUUUAUUCAAUGAAUGAUUAUACAGAAAAACAGUAUAUAGGUUUGAACUCACUGAAUGUUGAACAAGUUGGGCCCUGUCUUUGAAAGCAGGAGAUUGUGAAUUUUUGAGUUCAUCUGUAAAUGAAUCUUUAGAGCGGAGCACCAGCUGUAUUUUCACUUCAUUUAAAGCCUCUGUUGUUACCGAUGUUUCAGCUGCAGUUGUUGUGAUUGUGGAAGUCUCUGUUGUCGUAGAUGUUUCUGCUGCACUAGUGGUGGGUGUUUCCGGUGCAGUUGUUGUGAUUGUGGAAGUCUCGGUGGUUGUAGAUGUUUCUCCUGCAGUUGUUGUGACGUUGGAAGUCUCUGUGGUUGUAGAUGUUUCUGCUGCACUAGUGGUGGAUGUUUCAGCAAGAGUUGUUGAGAUUGUGGAAGUCUCUGUUGUUGUUGAUGUUUCUGCAGCACUAGUGGUGGAUGUUUCCGGUGCCGUUGUUGGGAUUGUGGAAGUCUCUGUUGUUGUUGAUGAUUCUGCAGCACUAGUGGUGGAUGUUUCCGGUGCCGUUGUUGUGAUUGUGGAAGUCUCUGUUGUUGUAGAUAUUUCUGCUGAAGUGGUGGUGGAUGUUUCCGGUGCAGUUGUUGUGAUUGUGGAUGUCUCAGUUUUUGUAGAUAUUUCUCCUCCAGUCGUUGUGAAUGUGGAAGUCUCUGUUGUUGUAGAUGUUUCUACUGCAGUAGUGGUGGAUGUUUCCGGUGCAUUUGUUGUGAUUGUAGAGGUCUCUGUUGUUGUAGAUGUUUCUACUGCAGUAGUGAUGGAAGUUUCAGGAGCAGUUGUUGUGAUUGUGGACGUGUCUGUUGUUGUAGAUGUUUCUGCUGCACUAGUGGUGGAUGUUUCAGGAGCAGUUGUUGUGACUGUGGAAGUCUCUGUUGUUGUAGGUGAUUCUGCUGCACUAGUGGUGGAUAUUUCAGCAACAGUGGUUAUCCUUGUCGAAGUGUCUGUUGUUGUAGACGUUUCCGCUGCAAUAGUGGUCGACGUUUCAGGUGCAGUCGUUGUGAUUGUGGAGGUCUCUGUUGUGGUAGAUAUUUCUACUGCAGUAGUGGUGGAUGUUUCAGGAGCAGUUGUUGUGAUUGUGGAAGUCUCUGUUGUUGGAGUUGUUUCUGCUGCACUAGUGGUGGAUGUUUCAGGUGCAGUCAUUGUAAUUGUGGAUGUCUCAGUUGUUGUAGAUGUUUCUGCUACACUAGUGGUGGAUGUUACAGGUACAGUUGUUGUGAUUGUGGACGUGUCUGUUGUUGUAGAUGUUUCUCCUGCACUAGUGGUGGAUGUUUCAGGUGCAUUCUUUGUGAUUGUGGAAGUGUCUGUUGUUGAAAAUGUUUCUGCUGCACUAGUGGUGGAUGUUUCAGUUGCAGUCGUUGUGAUUGUGGAAGUCUCUCUAGUUGUAGAUGUUUCUGCUGCACUGGUGGUGGAUGUUUCCGGUGCAGUCAUUGUGAUAGUGGAGGUCUCUGUCAUUGUAGACGUUUCUGCUGCACUGGUGGUGGAUGUUCCUGGUGCAGUUGUUGUAAUUGUGGAAGUCUCAGUUGUUGUAGAUGUUUCUCCUGCAGUCGUUGAGACUGUGGUAGUCUCUGUUGUUGUAGAUGUUUCUGCUCCACUAGUUGUUGAUAUUACCGGUGCAGUCGUUUUGAUUGUGGAAGUGUCUGUUGUUGAAGAUGUUUCUCCUGGAGUCGUUGUGACUGUGGUUGUCUCUGUUGUUGAAGAUGUUUCUGCUGCACUAGUUGUUGAUGUUUCUGGUGCAGUCGUUGUUGUUGAAGAUGUUUCUGCUGCACUAGUGGUGGAUGUUUCCAGUUCAGUUGUUGUGAUUGUGGAGGUCUCUUUUGUUGUAGAUGUUUCUACUGCAGUAGUGGUGGAUGUUUCAGGAGCAGUUGUUGUGAUUGUGGAAGUCUCUGUUUUUGUAGAUGUUUCUGCUGCACUAGGUGUGGAUGUAUUAUCCUCAGUUGUGGUGACUGUGGAAGUGUCUGUUGUUGUAGAUGUUUCUCCUGCAGUUUUUGUGACUGUGGAAGUGUCUAUUGUUGUAGAUGUUUCUGCUGCAUUAGUGGUGGAUGUUUCAGCAGCAGUUGUUGUGAUUUUGGAAGUAUCUGUUGUUGUAGAUGUUCCUGCUGCACUAGUGGUGGAUGUUUCCGGUGCAGUUGUUGUGAUUGUGAAGGUCUCUGUUGAUGUAUAUGUUUCUGCUGCAGUAGUGGUGGAUGUUUCCGGUGCAGUUGUUGUGAUUGUGGAGCUCUCUUUUGCUGUAGAUGUUUCUGCUUCACUAGUGGUGGAUGUUUCUGUUGCAGUUGUUGUGAUUGUGGAGGUCUCUGUUGUUGUAGAUGUUUCCGCUGCACUAGAGGUGGAUGCAUUAUCCUCAGUUGUAGUGAUUGUGGAUGUGUCUGUUGUUGUGGAUAUUUCUGCUGAAGUAGUGCUGGAUGUUUUUGGUGCAUUUGUUGUGAUUGUGGAAGUUUCUGUUGUUGUAGAUGUUCCUGCUGCACUAGUGGUGGAUGUUUCCGGUGCAGUUGUUGUGACUGUAGAGGUCUUUGUUGUUGUAGAUGUUUCUGCACCACUAGUGGUGGAUAUUUCCGGUACAGUUAUUGUGAUUGUGGAGGUCUCUGUUGA